AGUAGUUUGAUCAGUGGCUCAGGACAACGCUGGCGGCGUGCUUAACACAUGCAAGUCGAGCGGAAAGGCUCCUUCGGGGGUACUCGAGCGGCGAACGGGUGAGUAACACGUGAGUAAUCUGCCCUUGGCUUCGGGAUAACUACCGGAAACGGUGGCUAAUACCGGAUAUGACCACUCCUUGCAUGAGGUGGUGGUGGAAAGUUUUUUCGGCCAGGGAUGUGCUCGCGGCCUAUCAGCUUGUUGGUGGGGUAAAUGGCCUACCAAGGCUUCGACGGGUAGCCGGCCUGAGAGGGUGACCGGCCACACUGGGACUGAGACACGGCCCAGACUCCUACGGGAGGCAGCAGUGGGGAAUAUUGGACAAUGGGCGGAAGCCUGAUCCAGCAACGCCGCGUGAGGGAUGACGGCCUUCGGGUUGUAAACCUCUUUCAGUACCGACGAAGCGCCGAUGAUGGUGGUGACGGUAGGUACAGAAGAAGCACCGGCCAACUACGUG
rnacentral:rRNA from 1 species